AUACGGAGGGUGCAAGCGUUAAUCGGAAUUACUGGGCGUAAAGCGUACGUAGGCGGUUGGUUAAGUUAGAUGUGAAAGCCCCGGGCUUAACCUGGGAACUGCAUUUAAAACUGACGAACUAGAGUUGAGUAGAGGGGAGUGGAAUUUCAGGUGUAGCGGUGAAAUGCGUAGAGAUCUGAAGGAACACCAGUGGCGAAGGCGACUCCCUGGACUCGAACUGACGCUGAGGUACGAAAGCGUGGGUAGCAAACGGGAUUAGAAACCCCAGUAGUCC
rnacentral:rRNA from 1 species